rnacentral:rRNA from 1 species
GAUGAACGCUGGCGGCGUGCCUAAUACAUGCAAGUCGAGCGAACGGACGAGAAGCUUGCUUUUCUGAUGUUAGCGGCGGACGGGUGAGUAACACGUGGAUAACCUACCUAUAAGACUGGGAUAACUUCGGGAAACCGGAGCUAAUACCGGAUAAUAUUUUGAACCGCAUGGUUCAAAAGUGAAAGACGGUCUUGCUGUCACCUAUAGAUGGAUCCGCGCUGCAUUAGCUAGUUGGUAAGGUAACGGCUUACCAAGGCAACGAUGCAUAGCCGACCUGAGAGGGUGAUCGGCCACACUGGAACUGAGACACGGUCCAGACUCCUACGGGAGGCAGCAGUAGGGAAUCUUCCGCAAUGGGCGAAAGCCUGACGGAGCAACGCCGCGUGAGUGAUGAAGGUCUUCGGAUCGUAAAACUCUGUUAUUAGGGAAGAACAUAUGUGUAAGUAACUGUGCACAUUUUGACGGUACCUAAUCAGAAAGCCACGGCUAACUACGUG